UUAAACCUAGUGGAACAUCAUUUUGUUUCUUGUAUUAUAUGUGUGUGCUAAAUUAUUGUUUUAGAGCGAAGAACUAUAAAGGGUGACGAAAAAAACGUAAAAUUAUUGUAUGGGUAAAGAUGGCGAAGGAGAUAUUAAAACAGGUCCUAAUAACAUACCAGGGCAUACCUAUAGGAAUACUUAGGAGACGCCGCAACAGCUGUUGUGUGUAUUUGUGGGUGCUUGUGGAUUAGAAAAUACGAGUAUCUCUGAGAUGUGGUGAGAAGAACAAAGUCAUCUCAUCUAAAGAAAGAAACAGCUGAUAAUAUAGUCGCGAUUGAAUUUUUUUCAAGCAUUUAUAGCAAAACGACAAAAAAUCGACUAGUGCUUAGUCAAAAGUGCAACUAAGGAUAAGACUUGCCUUAAAUACAAAACUGUUGAAAUCCUUGCUCAUACAGAAAGCAUUAUACUUUAAAA